GGAUUAGAGUUCCAUGCAUACGUCGCAGCUACCAGCAGUCGAGCGGUAGCACAGGGGAGCUUGCUCCCCUGGGUGACGAGCGGCGGACGGGUGAGUAAUGUCUGGGAAACUGCCUGAUGGAGGGGGAUAACUACUGGAAACGGUAGCUAAUACCGCAUAACGUCGCAAGACCAAAGAGGGGGACCUUCGGGCCUCUUGCCAUCAGAUGUGCCCAGAUGGGAUUAGCUAGUAGGUGGGGUAAUGGCUCACCUAGGCGACGAUCCCUAGCUGGUCUGAGAGGAUGACCAGCCACACUGGAACUGAGACACGGUCCAGACUCCUACGGGAGGCAGCAGUGGGGAAUAUUGCACAAUGGGCGCAAGCCUGAUGCAGCCAUGCCGCGUGUGUGAAGAAGGCCUUCGGGUUGUAAAGCACUUUCAGCGAGGAGGAAGGUGGUGAGCUUAAUACGCUCAUCAAUUGACGUUACUCGCAGAAGAAGCACCGGCUAACUCCGUGCCAGCAGCCGCGGUAAUACGGAGGGUGCAAGCGUUAAUCGCAAUUACUGGGCGUAAAGCGCACGCAGGCGGUUUGUUAAGUCAGAUGUGAAAUCCCCGGGGCUCACCUGGGAACUGCAUUUGAAACUGGCAAGCUAGAGUCUCGUAGAGGGGGGUAGAAUUCCAGGUGUAGCGGUGAAAUGCGAAAGAUCUGGAGGAAUACCGGUGGCGAAGGCGGCCCCCUGGACGAAGACUGACGCUCAGGUGCGAAGCGUGGGGAGCAAACAGGAAUAGAUACCCUGGUAGUCCACACUGUAAACGAUGUCGAUUGGAGUUGUGCCCUUUGAGCGUGGCUUCCGGAGCUAACGCGUUAAAUCGAUCCGCCUGGGGAGUACGGGCCGCAGGUCAAAACUAUAAUUGAUCUGACUGGAGGGGCUCCCGCACCAAG
rnacentral:rRNA from 1 species